CAGCAGCCACGGGAAUACGAAGGGGGCUAGCGUUGCUCGGAAUGACUGGGCGUAAAGGGCGCGUAGGCGGCACAGACAGUCAGAAGUGAAAUUCCUGGGCUCAACCUGGGGACUGCUUUUGAUACGUCUGAGCUAGAGUGGAGAAGAGGGUUGUGGAAUUUCCAGUGUAGAGGUGAAAUUCGUAGAUAUUGGAAAGAUCACCGGUGGCGAAGGCGGCAACCUGGUCUUUUACUGACGCUGAGGCGCGAAAGCGUGGGGAGCAAACAGGAUUAGAUACCCCGGUAGUCCCUGUCUCUUAUAC
rnacentral:rRNA from 1 species